rnacentral:rRNA from 1 species
AUUGGAUUGAGAACAACGUACAACUCUUAUCGAUAAGCCAUUGGAGGGCAAGUCUGGUGCCAGCAGCCGCGGUAAUUCCAGCUCCAAUAGCGUAUAUUAACGUUGUUGCAGUUAAAAAGCUCGUAGUUGAAGUGAGGGAGUGUGUGGGUAUAACAACUUGAUCGGAACUGCUGCAACCUCCCCCCUCCAAUCGGUGUAGUGGGGUAUUCAGUUAUUCCACUACUCCUUUGGUCGUUUACUGUGAGAAAAUUAGAGUGUUCAAAGCGGGCGUUUGUUUGAAUAGAUUAGCAUGGAAUAAUGAUUGAAGGCUUUCGUGUUCGAUUUGAUUGGUUUGUUCAUGGAAGCAAGGUUAAAAGGAACAGUUGGGGGUAUUCAUAUUCACUAGUUAGAGGUGAAAUUCUCGGAUUUAUGGAAGAUGAACAAGUGCGAAAGCA